GAUGAACGCUGGCGGCGUGCCUAAUACAUGCAAGUCGAGCGAACAGACGAGGAGCUUGCUCCUUUGACGUUAGCGGCGGACGGGUGAGUAACACGUGGGUAACCUACCUAUAAGACUGGGAUAACUUCGGGAAACCGGAGCUAAUACCGGAUAAUAUUUCGAACCGCAUGGUUCGAUAGUGAAAGAUGGCUUUGCUAUCACUUAUAGAUGGACCUGCGCCGUAUUAGCUAGUUGAUAAGGUAACGGCUUACCAAGGCAACGAUACGUAGCCGACCUGAGAGGGUGAUCGGCCACACUGGAACUGAGACACGGUCCAGACUCCUACGGGAGGCAGCAGUAGGGAAUCUUCCGCAAUGGGCGAAAGCCUGACGGAGCAACGCCGCGUGAGUGAUGAAGGUCUUCGGAUCGUAAAACUCUGUUAUUAGGGAAGAACAAACGUGUAAGUAACUGUGCACGUCUUGACGGUACCUAAUCAGAAAGCCACGGCUAACUACGUG
rnacentral:rRNA from 1 species